CAAAAAAUUUAAAAUUGCUUCUAUUAAUGCAGUUAUUAAAAUAGUUUUUUUUACAAUAAACUUUUACAGGGGAAGUGUUAGAUUAUAAAUUUAAAUGCUUAAUUUAAAGUUCUAAAAUUUAGUUGAGCUUAUUUAAGUUUAGCUUUAUUAAGAAACUUUAGUUAAAUUUUAAAACUGUCAAAUACUCAUACUAAUAUUUAUUACUUCGUUUCUUUUUUAUCGACUUGGCAGCUCUUUGGGGCCAUGGUCUUCAAAACCUUUUAAAGUCUUCUCUCUUUCUAAAAAACAAAAGCUGCCAACUUCAAAUGAAGCAACUACUUCUUCCAGCGAAGCAACUACUUCUUCUAAAAAAGCUACUACUGCUUACAUCGAAGCAACUACCUCUUUCAACGAGGCAACCACUACUUCUAACAGAGCUACUACUCCUUUCACUAAGGCAACUACUACUUUCAUUGCAGCAACUACCACUUCUCAGAGAGCAACUACUUCUUCCAACAAAGAAACAACUUCUUUCAACGAAGCAACUACUUCGAACGAAGCAACUACUUCGAACGAAGCAACUACUUCGAACGAAGAAACUACUUCGAAUGAAGAAACUACUUCGAACGAAGAAACUACUUUGAACGAAGAAACUACUUCGAAUGAAGAAACUACUUCCAACGAUGCAACUACUUCAAACAUAGCAACUACUUCUCCCAACGAAGAAACUACAACACUCGGCGAGAUGUUCAUCAUCGUAACUAUCUAAUAACUGCAAUUGCGAAGAAAUUAAACUGUAAACAAAUUUGUGUACACUGUAAACGAAUUUAAGACUAAACUGUAAACAAAUCUAAAUUAGCUGUAAAUUGUAAGCAGAAUUAAGCUAUUUUAAUCAGUUUUACGCUUUAAUAGAAAUUCCAAACGCCAGUUAAUUAUCAGCUACAAAGUAAAAAAAGAAAAUCAACAGAAAAUCUUUUACAUCUAAGAGUUGUAAAAAGGGACAUUUUUGAUAAAAUGAAUAAUAAAAUGAAAUAAUUUUUUAUACAAA